AGGAAAGUCACCCAGCUCCAGGUAUGAGUGCCACAGAGGCGUUGCUGUGAUUCUGCCCCUGCCUCUCCCCACAAAGCGUCUGAACCAGCAUCAGUGUCUAAUCAGGGGACAGGCGCUUCAGGUCCCCCAACACUACCGGAGGAGUCAGGACCAGAGACCUUUUCCAAUAACAGAGCCAGUGUCAACAGGAAGUGCCUGAGGAAAUCCCCAUCUCCCAGUAGGCACCACCAUUACCACUGCAGGAGUAUCCACACAGGGUACACAACACGCUCUUCUACCUAACCUACCCCUGCCAUAAAUGCUAGACUGUUCCACUUCUGCAGGACCCACAGCAAGAGACAGCAAGUCUAUUCAAUCUGAUACAGUGUAUGCUGUGCCCAAAUUCAUGAAACAUAUCAUAAGAAGCUACAGGGAGAUCACACUUUGGUACCCAACUAGAAAUAAACUCAGCAAUGCACAGCAGAACAAUACUCAAGACACAUCUUCAGCAGAAAGUCCCUUCACAAGGAGAUAUCCCAUAAAAGCUGUUGAGAUAUCCAUUUCGCCAGAUGUGUAAAUUUCAACGCAGAAAAUCAGAAAUCUGAAAAAACAAGGAUCACCUUAGAAUUAAGAUCUACCUCUGAUCCACAAAUCAAAGUACAGUCAUGGAAAAUAUUUUUUGAGGGAAUGGAUAUUCUUGGCUGAGAGCAGAGUCUGAUUGGCAAGGGAAGG
rnacentral:lncRNA from 1 species